AAGUCGUAACAAGGUUUCCGUAGGUGAACCUGCGGAAGGAUCAUUACCGAAUGACGUGCGUCCUGGUUGUGGUAGACCAUUUCCUCCGAUUGGAUUUGGUCAGAUGUCGGACCAGCCAGGAUUUGGUCUACCAUGCCUUUCAUUCACCAAACAAACCUGUCGUUGCAUGUGUGGCAUUAAAGUAUAUAUAAAUAUAACUUUCAACAACGGAUCUCUUGGCUCUC
rnacentral:misc_RNA from 1 species